GAGAUCAGAACCACUUUAAAUAUUUCCAUCUAUCAUUUCUGUUAUACAAUGAAAUACAUAUUGACAAUUUAGGUCAUUCGGUUUAAGGAGACAGAAUUUUACAUAAUCUCUCUCAUGUCUUAAAAACUCUUUUAAAGAGCCACCUUCGAAUAUACAUCAGAGAAAGAAUCAUUACAAGAAAAUACUCUAAAAGUGAAACUGAGAGAAAGUAAGUAGAAGUGAAUGGUCAAGCCUUCACACAAAAUGUGGAAUACCUUACCUUUUCCAGCUGUGGCAACGUGACAACUAGCUUGACCAAUUCUUUUGCGAACCAGCUGAAAGCAGAAAAGGCUCUCAACGAUGGUGUAAUAUUAAAUAAGGGCGGAUGAUCUGGCUAACAGCCAACUGAGUGGAGUGUACGAAGAAUUUGACAGACAACCGUUCACCUCGACAUACGAGUCUUGACUGAGCCAUGAUAUUUUUACCUGCGGCCUAAAAGAAAAAACAAAUCUCACCAUCCAACAAGGUAGAAGGGAUUGAAGAGUCGCCAUUGUUAUUCCAUCCACGUAAAGAGAGCAAGUUAAUUAAAAAAAAAAUACUACUGACACUGAAGUUUCCGUAUGGAAGAACGAGGGGAAACUAACUGGUGAAUGUUUCCUGGUGAGCUCUUAAAUGCCAGAGAAGGCGCAGGAGUGAUUGUGGCGGAGGAAGUAAUUAUUUUUCUGCGAACUCAUUCUUAUUCGACGCCAUUGCCACAACGUAAUGGCGAUCGGUAUCAAUUACUUUUGCAAAUUAAAUUGAACUGGCCUUAGUACACUCGCGCGUAACGUGAUCGUAGUACCAUUCUACCUGAAUUGCAAAAUUAUAUAGGUUCCUUUCUAUCUUCUCUUGAUUAAAAGAGAGAAUGGAACCUGCAACUUUGAUUUUUCAACAUUUUCGGUAGAAAUGAAAAAUUUUAAAAAAAUGAAACUAAGUAAAGUUUUGCAUAAGUUUUGUCUCAUUUCACAAAAAAAAAAUAUAAAUUUCCUACGUUUAUAGUCGCAGUUUGUCAACAACCUUGUAUAUUUUCCCCGUUUAGGUCUUCAGAAAAUGAACACUAUACUGUCUAUUUCUUUUAUCCGACGAAUGAGAUAUCUCGGGGAAGUACAGCUUGCGUAAACCACAUCAGUAUUCUUCCCGUUGACAAAUCAGUCUUUUUAGUUACAUUUAUUAUAGUCGUAUAGAGUUUAGAGUAAUACUGGAAAAGUAAUUUAGUAAAUGCUUAUUCUACUCCUUCUGGUCAUCUCACAUCAGGUUCUCUCAAUAAUGCUUUCUAUAAUUGCUUUUACCAUUGAUAGGGCAUUUCUACUGAUCAUUGAUCGGGUGCUUGUAUCUAUUAUCAAAUACAAGUUAAAUAACUAGUCACGCAGCAUUUAGUGACGCAAGCAUGGGACAGAGCAAAUGACUAUCAAUGAAUUAAAAGUUGGAGUGAAGGUCAAUGAAAAGCAUAAUUAUUAGUCUUAACGUAUAAGGAGCUGUCACCUACUGUUAUUAGCUGUUAACCUACCUGUGAUUAUCCAAGCGAUAUCUUCAUACUUACUAUACUUUUGUGAAUGUAAGUUCAAUUUUUAUCAUUAUAUCGUAUUCUCUGUAUCAGUAAUUAAACCAAACUUAUUAUCAGCAGGAAUUAAAAAAUUAUACGAGUAAAAUAGAUUUGAGUCAAGUCAGCAAUCACGUACUGAACAAUCGAUUGUAAAUCAUAUAAAAUCCAAUAAAUAAAUAACCAACGUA